rnacentral:rRNA from 1 species
CUUUCCCUCUUUCUUUAGGCCUAACACAUGCAAGUCGAACGGCAGCACAGUAAGAGCUUGCUCUUACGGGUGGCGAGUGGCGGACGGGUGAGGAAUACAUCGGAAUCUACUUUUUCGUGGGGGAUAACGUAGGGAAACUUACGCUAAUACCGCAUACGACCUACGGGUGAAAGCAGGGGAUCUUCGGGCCUUGCGCGAUUGAAUGAGCCGAUGUCGGAUUAGCUAGUUGGCGGGGUAAAGGCCCACCAAGGCGACGAUCCGUAGCUGGUCUGAGAGGAUGAUCAGCCACACUGGAACUGAGACACGGUCCAGACUCCUACGGGAGGCAGCAGUGGGGAAUAUUGGACAAUGGGCGCAAGCCUGAUCCAGCCAUACCGCGUGGGUGAAGAAGGCCUUCGGGUUGUAAAGCCCUUUUGUUGGGAAAGAAAAGCAGCAGGUUAAUACCCCGCUGUUCUGACGGUACCCAAAGAAUAAGCACCGGCUAACUUCGUG